UCCGAUAAAACUUGCGAACUGGAAAUUAAGAGAAGAGAUGAGGAUACAGUGGCUAGAUUAAACAGUACCUUAGGUCACGAACAACACCAAACAACUUUAACAAAUUUCUAGAAACAAAUUCAAAAUAGCAAUGCGCAUAGAUAAACUGCUCAAAUCACCUCCAACUAAAAUUCAAACCACAUACCACCUCCGUACCAGAAAUUGAACCAGAAUUCUUCAACAGUUUGAUUCUCGUGUAGUUUCGUUUUCAAGAACACACCAAAACAGAUAAAGAACGCAGAUGGAAAUGCAGAAACUCACUGUUUUUAUUUUCGUUUGAGAAGACGAAACUAACCAGUCGGUUCACCUAACUCGCCGGAAAACGCCACUUCCGUUCGCCGAUCAACACCGUAAAACUGCCGUUUGCAAAUCAACAACGCAUCGUUUCUAUUGGAUUUUGGCGGAAAACGCACAACCUCCGUUCGCGAUUCUGAACCACUUAAAGUCGUCGUCUCCGAUUAAGGUCGUCGUCUCCGAUUAUGGUCGUCGUCUCCGAUUAAGUUUGUCUUCUUCGAUUAAGUUUCUCCAAGAGAUGAACACAAGAAGAAACGAAUCCAAAUGCACGAAAAUUUUGUUGUGCGUACCUUCAAAAAUCCUUUGCGCACCACAUAUUUCAUUCAGACCAGAGUUCUUCCGAUUCCAACUUCAUGAAUGCUUAGAAGAUGAAGAACAACAACACAAAUCGCAGAGAAAAUUUGAGGAAAAUCUGAAAAUCUAAACCAAAUCUGCUAUUCGUACCUCUGGCUUCAUUGUCCGCACCAAAUAUCCAAUGAGAUCUCCAAACAGGUUCAGAUUAAGAUGCACACCACUGGAAACGCUUUUUGAACCACGAGAAACUUUCGGAAAAUUUUCGAGAAUUUUCGAAAAUGAAUUUUGAGAGAAAAAC
rnacentral:lncRNA from 1 species